UCCCUAGUUGCCGCCUCUCUCUUCCAAGCUCUCUCUCAAACUCUUUUCUCCAUGAAAGCUUAUGUAUAAGCUUCCUAAAUAUUAAUUCCACCAUAAAUCCUUUGAUUUUCUUGAAGAAAAAUUAUAAACAAAUCUUGGAAGGAAGAUUAGAAGGAGAAGAAUUGAAGAAAAUUGAGAGGAAGUGAAGAUCAAAGACUUCACUAAAGCUAAAAAAGACUUGGAAACUUGAAGAGACUGAGUCAAGGCCUAGAGGUGACUCACGUCAGGUCUGUGCACAAUAAUUCU
rnacentral:misc_RNA from 1 species